GACGAACGCUGGCGGCAUGCUUAACACAUGCAAGUCGAACGAUCACUCCGGGCUUUUUUGCGCUCGUCUGCUUACGGCCUGGUGACUUACCCUUGGGUUCCCUGUACUUCACUGUAAUUUGACCUAAUACCGCAUAGUCUCUUCGCGCCAAAGAUUUCUUGCGUUUGGAUGGGCCCGGGUUGGAUUCGCUGGUUGGUGGGGUAAAGGCCUACCAAGGCGACGAUCCAUGGCUGGUCUGAGAGGAUGACCAGCCACACUGGGACUGAGACACGGCCCAGACUCCUAGGGGAGGGAGCAGUGGGGAAUAUUGGACAAGGGGCGAAAGCCUGAUCAAGCAAUGCCGGGGAAGUGAUGAAGGCAGUAGGGUUGUAAAGCUCUUUUAGCCGAGAUGAUAAUGACAGUACCGGGAGAAUAAGCCCCGGCUAACUACGUG
rnacentral:rRNA from 1 species